UAAUCCAGAUGUGAAUUGGUAAAUGAUAGCUGCAUCUUUCAACAUUAUUACUGUGUUUGCAAUGUAGCAUAUAGGAGAAAGACCAAAUGGAAAAUGAGAAAGGAAGAGACAUGGACACAAACCAACAUUUCUGCAUAUAUUUUUGUGCAAUUUUUUAUAUCCUACAUUGGUAGGAAACAGAAAAGAUCCCAAAAGUUUCACUUUCUGCCAUCUAUGAAGAACUGGUUUAUAGAUGAAGAAAUAAGGGUUUUGUUUUUUUUUAAAUUUGUACACUCCUUGAUUAGACACAAUAGUGUGAAAUAAACAAAAAAUUUCU